GGGUUGUGAGGUUAAGCGACUAAGCGUACACGGUGGAUGCCCUGGCAGUCAGAGGCGAUGAAGGACGUGCUAAUCUGCGAUAAGCGUCGGUAAGGUGAUAUGAACCGUUAUAACCGGCGAUUUCCGAAUGGGGAAACCCAGUGUGUUUCGACACACUAUCAUUAACUGAAUCCAUAGGUUAAUGAGGCGAACCGGGGGAACUGAAACAUCUAAGUACCCCGAGGAAAAGAAAUCAACCGAGAUUCCCCCAGUAGCGGCGAGCGAACGGGGAGCAGCCCAGAGCCUGAAUCAGUGUGUGUGUUAGUGGAAGCGUCUGGAAAGGCGCGCGAUACAGGGUGACAGCCCCGUACACAAAAAUGCACAUGCUGUGAGCUCGAUGAGUAGGGCGGGACACGUGGUAUCCUGUCUGAAUAUGGGGGGACCAUCCUCCAAGGCUAAAUACUCCUGACUGACCGAUAGUGAACCAGUACCGUGAGGGAAAGGCGAAAAGAACCCCGGCGAGGGGAGUGAAAAAGAACCUGAAACCGUGUACGUACAAGCAGUGGGAGCACGCUUAGGCGUGUGACUGCGUACCUUUUGUAUAAUGGGUCAGCGACUUAUAUUCUGUAGCAAGGUUAACCGAAUAGGGGAGCCGAAGGGAAACCGAGUCUUAACUGGGCGUUAAGUUGCAGGGUAUAGACCCGAAACCCGGUGAUCUAGCCAUGGGCAGGUUGAAGGUUGGGUAACACUAACUGGAGGACCGAACCGACUAAUGUUGAAAAAUUAGCGGAUGACUUGUGGCUGGGGGUGAAAGGCCAAUCAAACCGGGAGAUAGCUGGUUCUCCCCGAAAGCUAUUUAGGUAGCGCCUCGUGAAUUCAUCUCCGGGGGUAGAGCACUGUUUCGGCAAGGGGGUCAUCCCGACUUACCAACCCGAUGCAAACUGCGAAUACCGGAGAAUGUUAUCACGGGAGACACACGGCGGGUGCUAACGUCCGUCGUGAAGAGGGAAACAACCCAGACCGCCAGCUAAGGUCCCAAAGUCAUGGUUAAGUGGGAAACGAUGUGGGAAGGCCCAGACAGCCAGGAUGUUGGCUUAGAAGCAGCCAUCAUUUAAAGAAAGCGUAAUAGCUCACUGGUCGAGUCGGCCUGCGCGGAAGAUGUAACGGGGCUAAACCAUGCACCGAAGCUGCGGCAGCGACGCUGAUGCGUUGUUGGGUAGGGGAGCGUUCUGUAAGCCUGUGAAGGUGUGCUGUGAGGCAUGCUGGAGGUAUCAGAAGUGCGAAUGCUGACAUAAGUAACGAUAAAGCGGGUGAAAAGCCCGCUCGCCGGAAGACCAAGGGUUCCUGUCCAACGUUAAUCGGGGCAGGGUGAGUCGACCCCUAAGGCGAGGCCGAAAGGCGUAGUCGAUGGGAAACAGGUUAAUAUUCCUGUACUUGGUGUUACUGCGAAGGGGGGACGGAGAAGGCUAUGUUGGCCGGGCGACGGUUGUCCCGGUUUAAGCGUGUAGGCUGGUUUUCCAGGCAAAUCCGGAAAAUCAAGGCUGAGGCGUGAUGACGAGGCACUACGGUGCUGAAGCAACAAAUGCCCUGCUUCCAGGAAAAGCCUCUAAGCAUCAGGUAACAUCAAAUCGUACCCCAAACCGACACAGGUGGUCAGGUAGAGAAUACCAAGGCGCUUGAGAGAACUCGGGUGAAGGAACUAGGCAAAAUGGUGCCGUAACUUCGGGAGAAGGCACGCUGAUAUGUAGGUGAAGUCCCUCGCGGAUGGAGCUGAAAUCAGUCGAAGAUACCAGCUGGCUGCAACUGUUUAUUAAAAACACAGCACUGUGCAAACACGAAAGUGGACGUAUACGGUGUGACGCCUGCCCGGUGCCGGAAGGUUAAUUGAUGGGGUCAGCGCAAGCGAAGCUCUUGAUCGAAGCCCCGGUAAACGGCGGCCGUAACUAUAACGGUCCUAAGGUAGCGAAAUUCCUUGUCGGGUAAGUUCCGACCUGCACGAAUGGCGUAAUGAUGGCCAGGCUGUCUCCACCCGAGACUCAGUGAAAUUGAACUCGCUGUGAAGAUGCAGUGUACCCGCGGCAAGACGGAAAGACCCCGUGAACCUUUACUAUAGCUUGACACUGAACAUUGAGCCUUGAUGUGUAGGAUAGGUGGGAGGCUUGGAAGUGUGGACGCCAGUCUGCAUGGAGCCGACCUUGAAAUACCACCCUUUAAUGUUUGAUGUUCUAACGUUGACCCGUAAUCCGGGUUGCGGACAGUGUCUGGUGGGUAGUUUGACUGGGGCGGUCUCCUCCUAAAGAGUAACGGAGGAGCACGAAGGUUGGCUAAUCCUGGUCGGACAUCAGGAGGUUAGUGCAAUGGCAUAAGCCAGCUUGACUGCGAGCGUGACGGCGCGAGCAGGUGCGAAAGCAGGUCAUAGUGAUCCGGUGGUUCUGAAUGGAAGGGCCAUCGCUCAACGGAUAAAAGGUACUCCGGGGAUAACAGGCUGAUACCGCCCAAGAGUUCAUAUCGACGGCGGUGUUUGGCACCUCGAUGUCGGCUCAUCACAUCCUGGGGCUGAAGUAGGUCCCAAGGGUAUGGCUGUUCGCCAUUUAAAGUGGUACGCGAGCUGGGUUUAGAACGUCGUGAGACAGUUCGGUCCCUAUCUGCCGUGGGCGCUGGAGAACUGAGGGGGGCUGCUCCUAGUACGAGAGGACCGGAGUGGACGCAUCACUGGUGUUCGGGUUGUCAUGCCAAUGGCACUGCCCGGUAGCUAAAUGCGGAAGAGAUAAGUGCUGAAAGCAUCUAAGCACGAAACUUGCCCCGAGAUGAGUUCUCCCUGACCCUUUAAGGGUCCUGAAGGAACGUUGAAGACGACGACGUUGAUAGGCCGGGUGUGUAAGCGCAGCGAUGCGUUGAGCUAACCGGUACUAAUGAACCGUGAGGCUUAACCUUACAACGCCGAAG
rnacentral:rRNA from 1 species